CCCCUACGGAUGCAGGAGGUCUUAACCCAGCGCUAAUCAGCUGACUCUUCCUAAGGUAGAAUAAUGCAGAGGUCGCAGCGAAUGGCGGGCAGUUCUAGCAUCCGUCCUAUGAGCAGAUUUGGUUUGUCAUGCUGUAUUGACCCAUACAGUAUUGAGUAUUUUUUAGAUUAGUUACCGACACUUAAAUGCAAAGACUUCUUAUUAAAGAUCCAGGUUUCUUGCUUUUCUUCAAACACUGGACAGUUUGGUAUGACCAGCCCACACAGUCCCCUGGUGAUCAUCAGUCACAGCCACCUUCUUUGUGGCUAUAUGUAGUCACUACAUACCCAGGUCUCCCUUUUUGUUUCCCCGACUGUAAUCACAUUUGCACUGAUUUUGUUACAAUAAAAAGGAAAAUGAGAAUUUAAUACCUAUGUCUGUCUCGAAGCAGAAAAAUGGAAGAUACAGUGAAGGAGCCGCCUGUCUCAAGGACAACGAGCCUGAACGCAGAUCUUGCCAUUGCAGCACUUAGAGAAAUUGCUUGGUCUCUCCAGCACCUUGAAUUUCGCAGCUGGAAGAGGCCCGCCUUUGAAGGUUUCUCCUCACUUCCUUAAGAUUAGAAGACCUAAUUUGGCUAAUUGAUUUAGUCAGUAAUGAGCACCAAACGCUGAAUAGAAGACUUCAUCAAAGCACUUCUAACAAAGAAGUUAGACCAGUCCCUGAAACUGAAAUCUGCAAAUAUCGUGAUCAUUUUUCUGGGCUUCAGACACACCAGCAUAACCUUAGUCAUUCUCUAUGUCACCUGAGUUAGAGAUUCAUUCUGGAGCCGAGCUUCAGAUCAAAUUGCUUUCUCCCAGAGAUAAAGAAGCUGGGCCUGGCCCGGGCUGGAGCUGGGCGGGAGCUGCUGCCGGAGCCGCAGCAGCAGCCGAAGCCGCUGGGAGCCGGGGCUGGAGCGCAGGCGCUGCCGGAGCCCAGCUGAGCUGAGCCGAGCCGAGCCGGCCACCUUCUAUUGCCCGAAGCACGCGCCGAUGUGUCAGGCAGCUGCAGGGCCCGGGCGCUGUCGGAGGUAGCGAGCCGCGACCACCGAGCACCACCGGGCGUGGGAACCCGGAUCGCCCCUGCCAGGCCUGGGCACGGCCUGAACACGCAGGAGGUUCGAAGGGAAAAAGGAAAGUGGAUUCCAUCUGAGCAUUGCGUGGGCACUGGGCGGGGAGAAGAGUGGAGGUUUCACCUGGCACGGGGCAGAGGUGCGCCCAGCUUACUAGGCCAGGCUUGAGGACCAGAGAGCCUGGCAUCCCCGCAGCCACGACCUGGACUCUGCCCUGCUGGAACCAUAGACACAGUCAGCGUAGCUCCUGGACCUCAGCUGGCCCAGGCCUGGCACAAGAAGCAGUGCCCUCACCUGUCUGAGACCUGGCCAGGAUCUGAGGGCCCAGGAUCUGGCCUGACCCAAAGUGGGGCUCUCUGGUGGCUCAGAGCUGGUCACUGGGGAGCCCGCCUCCUGCCCCAGCCCCUCUGGUAUGGAUGUGCCACUGCUGGCUGGAGCACCAUGAUGGCAGGAUGACCUCAGUUGAGGCAGUGGCAGUGACUGCUGACAGUGCUCUGGUGGCUGGGUCCCCCGAGUGGCCCACUGAUUCCCCCUCACGCCCUUGGGCGGCCUGGCCAGCCCAGGUGGCCAUGGCAGCACUAGUGUGACUGCUGGCAGCCAUCUGCCUCUGUGGCCUUAGGUCUGUUCCACAGAGUGCCCUGCUGCAAGAGGAGAGGCUGGACGCAGUGAGCCUACUGUGCGCCACCUCACUGCCCAGCUUCUGCCCGCUAGCACAGGCUGCCCUGGUGCUGGAGGCUGGUGUGACACUGCUGCCAGCUCCCACUGACUCCUGCCUCUGGGCCUGCAUCCUGCUCAGCUGUCUCCUGUCUGUGCUCUACAACCUGGCUAGCUUCUCCUGCUCGCCCUCACCUCUGCCCUCACUGUCCACAUCCUGGGAGACCUCACUGUCAUGGGCAACCUCAUUCUCUCCUGGCUCCUGUUUGGCAGCUGCCUCAGCACCCUCAGCUAUGUGGGCAUCACACUCACUCUUUCAGGAAUGUUCCUUUACCACAACUGCGAAUUCAUGACCUCCUGGGCUGUCCGCCAGGGUUUCUCAUGGAGAGACCAUCCUGGCAAGGGUCUUUGAGACCUGGAGGAGUGCGUGGGUCACCUGAGGCAGCCCCAGCCUGAAUCCAGCCUUGGACAGUGGCCAUGGGAAAAGUGGAGAGCAGGGAGCUGCUGGGACCAGUGAGGGAGAAGGGCCUUCUGGAAGGGCCACCUUGGAGGCUGGAAUGGGGACUCCCAGAGAGACCUACCUCCUGUCCCUGCCUGUCUCUCCUCAUCACAGACCCCACUAACCACUGGAUGGUGGGUCCAAGCCUGGCACAGUCACUGUGCUUGUUGGAGUAAUUAUUAUGAUUACUAUCAACUACUACACUGAAAACUGCUGGCCAAACUUUGGAAACCUCACCAUGUUCUGAUGGCAACGAUCUUGGUGGUUGCACAGUCCUUCCUCCAGGAAGUAGGG
ensembl:lncRNA